UGUGCCUGUUCUGGGAAUGUCCACAGAAAGACUGUAUUGUAAACGUUCACAGCAGCCUUGCCUGUGAUCACCAAAAUCUGAAACAACCUGAAUGUCCUCCACCGGUCAGUGGAUGAACCAAUUAUGAUACGUCCAUGCAACCGGUGCCGUCCAGCAUUGAAAAGGAUGAAUCUCAAAAUAAUUACACUGUGAAAAAAUGUCAGGCAGUAAGAGUAUACACACUGUGUAUACUUAUUCUUACCCAGGGCAGAAAUGAAUCGAUGUACAGUGACAGAAAGGACAAAGAGUGAACCCUAAAAUCUGGUGAGAGUCUGUGAAACACACCAGGAACCGAUGUGCUGCUUGGGAGUUUCUUCUGAGAAACAGCAGAAUGUCACACCCUGUCAGUCACGCACGGGUGCCGCCUCCAUCCCCGCCAAUCUGAGGGCCUCCCCCAAGGGAGGGGCGUGCUCCUUGCCAGGAGGCUUCUGCUGGUGCACUGCCCCUCCCUGAACUCCCUACCUGAGCCUCUCUUGCCUAGACUAUUUGGAAAGUCUACACAUGGAAGAAGGGGUGGUCUCACUGAGUCACGUCCACCCAAGGGAAACUGCCCAGGAACCACAGAAGCAACAGCAAAGUGAGCAUCUCAGACGUGGCUGAAAGGAAGCCAGGCAAAAAGGUGAAGAAACCAAGGCUCCAGGUUCCACUGCCAGGGCAUGAAUGGGAGCGUGGUCUGGACAGGGCUCCUGGACGGCAAGCAUCAUGGGAACCCUGAGGAAUGCAGGUUCUUGGGCCCCUCUGGCCCUGCUGGAUUGGAUGCUGGUGAGGGCUCAGGGUCCCCACGGGCCCUCCAGGGAACUCUGACCUGGGAAG